rnacentral:rRNA from 1 species
UACGUAGGGUGCAAGCGUUAAUCGGAAUUACUGGGCGUAAAGCGUGUGCAGGCGGUUUUGUAAGUCUGUCGUGAAAGCCCCGGGCUCAACCUGGGAAUUGCGAUGGAGACUGCAAGGCUUGAAUCUGGCAGAGGGGGGUAAAAUUCCACGUGUAGCAGUGAAAUGCGUAGAGAUGUGGAGGAACACCGAUGGCGAAGGCAGCCCCCUGGGUCAAGAUUGACGCUCAUGCACGAAAGCGUGGGGAGCAAACAGG